AACGAACGCUGGCGGCAUGCCUAACACAUGCAAGUCGAACGAGACCUUCGGGUCUAGUGGCGCACGGGUGCGUAACGCGUGGGAACCUGCCCUUAGGUUCGGAAUAACUCCCCGAAAGGG
rnacentral:rRNA from 1 species